CGAGAUGCUAAAUAUGUGUUUAUAAAUAAGAGAUAAUUUUCAUCUUUAAAAUUAAUUUUGUAAGAUUGAAUUAUGCUUAAUUAUCAAUUCUAAAAUAUAUCAGAGUCUCCUCCAUGAUCUGCUAGGCCGUCCGUUGUCAAGUUUCUGAUCGGAUCAUCCUUUAUUUAUAUCAGCACCCCAAGCUCCUCCAUGAUUUGCUAGGCCGCCUGCUAUCAAGUUUCUGACCAGAUCAUCAUUUAUUUAUAUCAGGGCCCCAAGCUAAUAGUGUUGGGUGCAUGGAAGUGUGUUAAAAAUUCUUAUAUCGGU
rnacentral:lncRNA from 1 species